UCCACGGAGAGGAAACUAUUGGACUAUUUAGACCCGUCGCGAAGUUUCUACAAAAGGCAGCUCUCAGACAUUAGAAGACUUCACUAAACUCAGGCGCACGAAUUCUGAUUCCAGAAAUUGACUCGCAGCAGCCCUCGCUUGAAGCUUGGUCGAAGCUGUUGAAUGGGGAGAGACGAGCAACGCAAAGCUGGUGGCCACGUUUUGUGAAGGAGCAGAUCUCGCUUCACUUUUCGCUAGGUUUACGUUGUCGUUGGUACUCAGGUUUGUUGAUCGCCUUCUCAUAAUUCGUACUUUCUUCCUGAUCGUCACGUAGUUUCCUGUCGUUGUUAGGGUUCUCGACGCCGUUCGUAAUCUGUUUCUUGAUCGCCUUCUCAUGACUGGUUACUGCAAAAUAUGUCAAGAAGUGGUCGUAUUAUCCAGACUUAGUUCCAUAAUCUUGUAUGUACUUUCUCAAUUAUUUAUUUUCAUACAAAUGGAUCUUAUCUUGAUACAAAAAAAUUGGCUACUUAUUGUCUUCCUGCCCAUAUAGCGGCAUUAUACCUUCUUCUGGUGUUCUUCUGCAGUUCUGCUUAGUCAACGGCUUACUCCAUCUCGAGUAAUUAUUCUGUAACAAAAUUUCCAUGGUUCUGCUGAAUAUUCAUCUCAAGCUCACUCAAGCCAUACCUGUUCCUCAAGUACCGGAGAACUAUUAUAGUUGACCUCAGCAGCACUUUUUCCCUACUGUUCAAGUGAGGUCUCCUGCUUUCUUUUCUGUUUUCAUCUGUUGGUUUAUGUUAGAAAUCCUUAAAAUGGAAAAUUAGUUCUAAUACUCACCACACUAUGCACCAUUAGGAUGAUUUUGGAAUUUCUGAAGUGUCUGCAUUACUCUGCUUAGCUUUCGCUUCUACACCUGGUUGGAACUCUACUUAAACCUCUGUUCUGUUCAUUGUCUUUUGAUUUUGUUUAGAUGUUUUGUACUGCUCAUUAAAGUUUGUUUUGCUGGGCACAUUUUUCUGUCCUUUACAUUGAUUAAUCGAUAUAGUUUUUCUUGGA